CCAUUGGCCAGUUAACUCGCCCGCUGACGUAACGCACGGAUGUUGCAUUCAUUAUUUUUUUCCUUCCCUGCAACCAGGCGAGUUCACAGAAACCGCCUCCCCCUGAAGCUCCGCCUUCCACUUCAUGUCUUAAUUCGCGGAGUGACCGUUGGAGUGAUGAGUGAACACACGCACGUCUUCAUUUGACCUGAGUGUUUUGAACUUGACGGCCCGGCGGCCCCAGCAGAUGUGAGUCAGAGCGCCAAUGAGGUUGCUUUUAUUACAGGUUUAAUCUGCUCUAAAGACUUUGACCUCAUAACAACUCAGGUUUUUGGACAAUGGAUUUUUUUAAAAGGCCAAUUUCAUGUCUUAUCUUUUUCCUCUUCACAAAGAUGAAGACGAGCUCGCAGGAGGGAAUCGAGAACCCGGAUCUGUUGGAUUGUUUGCAGAUGAAGAGACUUUAUCACAAAGAACUAAAAACAAAAAGCAAAUAACGAGCUCACCCACCAGGCUCAGUAUUCAAAGCUGCAUUCUGUGUAGUGACCAGCAGGGGGCGACUCCUCUGCUCCCAUAGACGUCUAUGAGGAAAUGACUCUACUUCUCUGUAGUGACCAGCAGGGGGCGACUCCUCUGCUCCCAUAGACGUCUAUGAGGAAAUGACUCUACUUCUC
ensembl:lncRNA